rnacentral:tRNA from 1 species
GGGCCUAUAGCUCAGUUGGUUAGAGUAGCUGACUCAUAAUCAGUUGGUCCUUGGUUCGAGCCCAAGUAGGCCCA